UUUUUUUUUUUUUCCUUAGCUAAAAAGGAAUAUAUUUUUGGAAACAUUUUGCAUCUUGUUUCUCUCUUUCCUCUCCAUUUUAUAAAGCAUCCUGUAUGGAAUGCUGCUUGGUGUCCAGGGUGCUUGGUUGCUCCAGCUGUUUGGAAGACAGGUCAAAUAGCAUGCUCAGAGUGUAAGAAUGGCUGCUCUGGUGCAAGGGGAAGUGAAAAACUGACAUUCGUGUGCAAGCAAACUACACUAACCUUCAAACUAAGGCGGGUCUGCUUUUCCCUCAAGCCCCCUUGAAGCUGAGGCGAAGUGCUAUGACCGUAUAGAAUAUCAAGGCAGUCUCUACUCAAUUAUAUGAACGCUGGACCAUCACAAAGCAGCUGAAAUGGAUUGGGCAAUUCAGCCUUUGGACGUUACUGGCCAAGUGGCUGCACAGGGCUCUGUAACGCCGUACUUGAUAAAGAAAGCAAAAUUCAAGGAGGGAGGUCAAGUGAGCUGGUCUGUUCUCAGUACUUCUGUGCAAACUGUUUCUUACCAUGCCGCGUAUACUGAGCUAUUUUGCAGAAUAAACCACUGAACAUCUAACCCAAUUUCACUACCAUAUGAGGAUUAGACAUGGUAAUACCUCUCUUGAGCCACUUCUGAGGAUUAGCUUCAAAAAUCAAAUUAAAAUGAGGCAAACCCAAACAGACUGGGUAGUUCCACAAUAAGGUGCAAUGCUCAUAUUCAGUAAUCAUCAUCUGUGCCUCUUGCACUUAAUAUUACUGUGUGCAAGUAGCGUUAUAGUACACCUGCAGUGUGUGGUAAAGGUGAGAAACUCUUCGGGUAUGGCACAUCAGUAUAUUAAGGUCAUGAGGCCUUAAUUGCCCGAGUAUUCCUGCUGUAGUAAAAAAUCUAUUUGAGUUUGUUUAUUUGCAAGCACUGAGGGGGAAAUACGUGAUUUUUACCUCACCUUUUUGAGGAAAAAUGAGGGUGAGAAGCAUAACGUUCUCCAAGCAGGACUGUGUGCUAUGACAUGCAGAAGUGGCCGCAGGACUGUGAGUGUGCGUCUUGUUUUUCACUCCUACACAAGUCAUUAUUUUUUAUUCUUUUUCUCAAGUGUAUUUAAAGGCAAAUGCUUAGAUUGAUGGGUUUGGUUUAAAAGAAACGACCAGUGAGUGUAAUAAAGUGUUUGUCUAAACAGGUACCUUAGAACAAAAUACGCAAACCUGGUUCUGAGCAAUGGCUAGAAACAAGAGCUAUCCAAUACAUUUUAAAUUCUCUUUGGAGUCAAAUGCUAAUACAGAUAUUGAUUUUAACAUGUAACUGUUGAAAGGCACACAAACAAAACUUGAUUUACCAGAUUAACAAUUCCUGUUGUCUUAAAUUAGCAGGGAAAAUUACAUACUGUCAGCAGUAUGUUUGCGCUGUUCUGCGUUGCUUUCAUUAUACAGUAAAAUGUGAAUCGCAAGCCAAAUCAAAACUCUUUAAUACAGAGGCAUAAUAAGAGGUUGUUAAUCUCAAAUAAUAAUUAAAAAUAUAGAACUGGAAUACUAUCAAGUACCUAAAUCUCCUGAGAUGACAAACAAUAAGGAAAAAAAUCAGGAAGUUUGUAAGCAAUUUACAAGGCAGAGAAAGAUGCCUGUGACAGAGACACACUGGUGAUCUGGAGCAGUUUAACAGCACCUGCAACCCAAAGCAGGCAAGGAACAGCAAGGUGGUUUUCAGCAACAUUCUUGAUUAAGAUAAUAAGAACAUUAAUGGAAUAGUUUAGGACUACACUUCCUGAAUAUGCCACUCAGUGCAACUAAAAUAAUAAGCAGAAAAUGAAGACAAGUUGCUAGGAAUGCUUUAGGUGAUCACAGAAAGAUAACUGGACUUUACAAGUACAUGGCAUUGUUUUCUCUCCUAUCUUUACAUUAUACGAACACUUAAAAACUGUGACAGUCCUACUCCAGUGCCAUUUGUAAAAUAAAAAGAGCAUUGCUUCCCUAAUUCACUGCUGGCUGCUCUCAAGCUUCAUAGUGAAAACAUUGUUACACAAUCAGGUUUUCUGAACAUGCUGCCUUCUCCAGACAAACAAUAAUUAGCAUCCUAGAUAGCAAGAAAACAGUAGCGCUAUAAAGGCACUAUAACGAAUGCAAACUCCGUUCAGUGCAAUCGAUGUAGCUAAUUACGUAUCCAUGCUCCCUGGACAGCAAAGGCCAUAUUUAUUAAUACGAUGAAUCUAUCCCCUUGCAGCAGAAGGGCAGCCUGGCAGUCUUUCUCUGCCUGUUAUGUCACAGAAGCAGGGGGGGAGUACUGCCCCAUGUACACAGCUAUGCAUACAGCUGCACGAUUUAUUACUGUGAGAAAAAAGAGCUUAGCGGUGAACAGUUUAAGUAGUAUUUGAUGACCCUGGCCCUUGUACUGACAGUCUGUGUUACUGCAUCUUCCCUUUGCUCGUCUUUCUCCCUAGACUGAGAAGCUCGGUGUGGUUUACUUGUCUGUGCUGAUAUGCUCCUAAACCAAAACGUACGGGACAGCUACCCUCAAGCCAGGCCUGCGCUCCUCGCCGAUGCUGCCGCUCACCCAGGCCAGAGCAGGCCUUUUGCUGCAGCACCGGCAAUGCACCGAUGGCUGCAAACCCCAUGGUUUUAAGGCUCCGCCGAGACCCAGCGGCGCGGGUGCGAAGGUGCCGGCGUUUCUUCUCC
ensembl:lncRNA